rnacentral:rRNA from 1 species
UUGAACGCUGGCGGCAGGCCUAACACCUUCCAGUUGAACGGUCACAGGAAUCAGCUUUCUCCUUCGCUGACGACUGGCGGACGGGUGUGUAAUGUUUCGUCAACUGCCUCUUUUUCGUGGAUAACUACUGGAAACGGUUUCUACUACCGCCUCACGUCGCAUGCCCAUAGAGGCGGACCUUAUUGCCUCUUUCCCUCUGUUGUUCCCCUCGUGGAUUAGUUAGUAGGUGGGGUAAAGGCUCACCUAGGCGACGAUCCCUAGCUGGUCUGAGAGGAUGACCAGCCACACUGGAACUGAGACACGGUCCAGACUCCUACGGGAGGAAGCAGUGGGGAAUAUUGGACAAUGGGCGCAAGCCUGAUGCAGCCAUGCCGCGUGGAUGAAGAAGGCCUUCGGGUUGUAAAGUACUUUCAGCGGGGAGGAAGGGAGGAAAGUUAAUACCUGGGCGCAUUGACGGUACCCGAAGAAGAAGCACCGGCUAACUCCGUG